GUACAGUAAGUACAGAAAUUCAUUAGCAAAGGCUAGAUUAUCUGUGGAAGAAGCAUAUGUUGACAAUUUAGAAAUUGAUGCAGCUGAUAGAGAUGCCGAAGAAUCCGACUAUGGUUUUAACUGGCUACUUUGCAACAGUGAUGGAACUGCGGACUUAGAUGAAGUCUUUCCUCACUGGGAGAGUUCCUAUAAAAACAGGUCUCAAAUGCUCUCAAAUUCAGACAAUCUCGACAACGUUCUUAAGGAAUGGCCAAUACUUAAACAAUCUUUUGGAUUUAAAUUGGUAAAAAUCAAAAAUUUCUUUCAAGUUUUCAUAUUUUCAUAAAAUUUUUGUUUAGAUUAAUUUUGAUUUCAAACGGAAGUUCCCGGAAAAAGAAUCGUUUCUUUUUGACAAAUUUUUGACCUUUAAAGAGAAGUGCCUUCGAACUGCUGAGGGCCGAGUGAAAGAGUCGUUCAGCAAUCAAAUCCUAAAGUCUAUCCAUGGAGCUUCAGAAGAGUCUGUCAACGCUGGAAUUUUUUUGAUCAUUCACGCGCUUUUAGUACCAACUGCGCGGCGGUCUCGCAGUACUCGCAACACUGCAAAAAAAAUUUGCUCUAAGAUCACCAUCGCUGACUCUAGGAAGUCCUUCUUUGUAAGCUUCCCUACUGUCGGAGAGCUUAUGUCUUACAUCAAGACUCGGAUAGACAACCUUUUUACCGAAAAGUGCACCUUGCAGCCUAUAGUGUGCGGUAUAGGACCUUCAGAUUUGGAAUGCAAGGAGUUCU